rnacentral:rRNA from 1 species
UACGGGGGGGGCAAGCGUUGUUCGGAAUUACUGGGCGUAAAGGGCGCGUAGGCGGUUUGGCAAGUCUAGUGUGAAAUCUUCGGGCUCAACUCGAAGUCUGCACUGGAAACUGCCGGGCUUGAGUAUGGGAGAGGUGAGUGGAAUUUCCGGUGUAGCGGUGAAAUGCGUAGAUAUCGGAAGGAACACCUGUGGCGAAAGCGGCUCACUGGACCAUAACUGACGCUGAGGCGCGAAAGCUAGGGGAGCAAACAGG